rnacentral:rRNA from 1 species
AUGGCGCCGGUGGCAGACGAUGUCCUCGACGGCGGCAACGAGAAAUCAAUCUUCCGGUGCCUCGACGCGGCGCGCUACGUUGUGGCUGCCGCGGUGAGCGUGCUCAUCAUGGCGGUCAUCGUGUACGCCAUCACCGUGGUGCUCCGCCCAGCGGACCUCUAUAUCGGGGUCCUCCAAGGCUCCGUCUCCGUCUCUGUUUCAGGCGGCGACAACCUGCGCAGGCCACCGUUCAACGCCAGCAUCGGCCGCGGCAACCUCACCUUCUCAUUCACCGUCCGGGCCAUCAACCCCAGUGGCCGCGUCAGCAUCUACUACACCGACGUCGAGGCCCGGAUCAAGAGCAACAUGUCGUCGGCGUCAAGCACUUUGCUCCGUCUCCAGUUGCCCGACGUGUCCUUGGGGCCCCAGUCGAGCAUCGACUCCAACAUUCUGAUAAAUACAUUUGCGCUUGUUAAGAAACAGGUGUACUACUUCAAUAUGUUGGCCAAUGGGAGCAGCAUCGACGACGCUAUGAUUGCGGUGGAGGGUACCCGCACCGUCGAGGUUUACUCCGGUCGCAACGUGACCGACCACGUGCGAGUAUUCUACUUCUGCUCGCCCAUCGUCGUUGGCGGCGAUAAGGACGACGACAGUGAGGCUGCAGUCGACGUGCAGUGCACGGAUCAGAAUCAGCCAGCCAGCAGCUAG